CUUGACGAUCAAACCCC
rnacentral:rRNA from 2 species